GCCCAGACUCCUACGGGAGGCAGCAGUGGGGAAUAUUGCACAAUGGGGGGAACCCUGAUGCAGCGACGCCGCGUGAGUGAAGAAGUAUUUCGGUAUGUAAAGCUCUAUCAGCAGGGAAGAAGAUGACGGUACCUGACUAAGAAGCCCCGGCUAACUACGUGCCAGCAGCCGCGGUAAUACGUAGGGGGCAAGCGUUAUCCGGAUUUACUGGGUGUAAAGGGAGCGUAGACGGCAGGGCAAGUCUGGAGUGAAAGCCCGGGGCCCAACCCCGGGACUGCUUUGGAAACUGCCAUGCUGGAGUGCUGGAGAGGUAAGCGGAAUUCCUAGUGUAGCGGUGAAAUGCGUAGAUAUUAGGAGGAACACCAGUGGCGAAGGCGGCUUACUGGACAGUAACUGACGUUGAGGCUCGAAAGCGUGGGGAGCAAACAGGAUUAGAUACCCGAGUA
rnacentral:rRNA from 1 species